AAUUGACGGGGACCCGCACAAGCAGUGGAGCGUGUUGUUUAAUUCGACACAAAACGAAAAACCUCACCAGGGUUUGACAUGCUAGAGUUCUAUUUCCAAGAAACUGGAGAGAUGCGCAAGCAGGCUAGCACAGAUGCUGCAUGGCUGUCGUCAGCUCGUGGCGUGAAUCUAGAGAAAGAUUUUUCGCGCCCGCCCCGAGUAAUCGGGGACGGAAAAUUCGGCUCAUAUCGGUGAAACUGAUUGACUUUUGGGUUACAUUUGGGUAAUCUGGAAGUAUAGGUAAUACCGAGGGAAGUCGGGAAGUAUGGUUUUCACUGCUCGUAAAAACUUAAAGCUUGAUGUUUCUAACAGACAAAUAGAAAUACUUGUAGGCUGCUUACUGGGAGAUGCUUAUCUAACUAAGUUAGGUAAGAUUCAAGUAGAGCAGUGUUACAAGCAAAAAGACUAUAUUGACUGGAAAUAUCAUGAGCUUGCUUCGAUAAGUUAUGGCCUACCAAAAGAAGUAGUCCGUUUUGAAAAAGCGGAUAACCGAGUUACUAAGUCCUUAAGAUUUUGGACUCGGCAAUACUUUAGAGUUUGGAGGAACAUAUUUUAUCGUGAUAAUCACAAAGUCUACCCAAAAGCAUUGUCCAAAUUGAUUUCUCCUUUAUCUAUUGCCGUAUGGUACAUGGAUGAUGGAUAUCAUAAGGACAAAAACUGUGUUUUAUCUACAGAAUCGUUUGAUUUAGAAGAUAGAAAACAACUUGCAAAAAAAUUGCAAGAUUUUGGAGUAGAAGUGAUCUUAAGAAAAAGUGGCAAGCUAAGAAUAAAAACUAAAAGCUUAUUAAGAUUUUUCGAGCUUAUCAGGCCUUAUAUUCACAAGAGUAUGGUCUACAAACUUCCUUGACCCUGUAACGACUGAUAUAUGAGGUACCAGAUAAUCUGGAUUUAAACUCAUAUUAUAUGCCGAAUCCCGCAACGUAAAGUCGGCGGGAAUGGGAUAGUCUAUUAUCGUAAAGCGAUAGGAGCUGUUAUCUUAAGUGAUGAAACGAGCGCAACCCUCACCGUAUGUUAAAUAAUUCAUGCGGAACAGGUCCGAUUAUAUCGGACAGGAAGGCGAGGAUGACGUCAAGUCAGCACGGUUCUUACACCCUGGGCCACAAACACACUACAAUGGCGAAUAACAACGAGUUGCAAGCUAGCAAUAGCAAGCUAAUCUCUAAAAUUUCGCCUCAGUUCAGAUUGGGGUCUGCAACCCGACCCCAUGAAGUCGGAAUUGCUAGUAAUCGCGGAUCAGCGUGCCGCGGUGAAUACGUUCUCGGGUCUUGUACAAAAUAAAUGCGCCUGGCAGUUUUUAAAGCUAGAUGGUGUAAAUCCGUC
rfam:Candidate division WWE3 bacterium RIFCSPLOWO2_01_FTLL_37_15 rifcsplowo2_01_scaffold_26693, whole genome shotgun sequence.